rnacentral:rRNA from 1 species
CCUACGGGAGGCAGCAGUGAGGAAUAUUGGUCAAUGGACGCAAGGCUGAACCAGCCAUGCCGCGUGCAGGAAGACGGAUCUAUGAGUUGUAAACUGCUUUUAUACGAGGGUAAACGCAGCUACGCGUAUCUGUCUGCAAGUAUCGUACGAAUAAGGAUCGGCUAACUCCGUGCCAGCAGCCGCGGUAAUACGGAGGAUUCGAGCGUUAUCCGGAUUUAUUGGGUUUAAAGGGUGCGGAGAUGGGUUUGUAAGUUAGAUGUGAAAGUUUGUGGCUCAACCGUAAAAUUGCAUUUGAUACUGGUAGACUUGAGGGUAGUUGAGGUAGGCGGAAGGUGUGGUGUAGCGGUGAAAUGCUUAGAGAUCACUCAGAACUCCGAUUGCGAAGGCAGCUUACUAAGCUACUACUGACAUUGAUGCACGAAAGCGUGGGGAUCAAACAGGAUUAGAUACCCCUGUAGUC